CUACGGGCGGCUGCAGUGAGGAAUUUUGCGCAAUGGGGGCAACCCUGACGCAGCAACGCCGCGUGAGUGAAGAAGGCCUUUGGGUCGUAAAGCUCUGUCAAUGGGGAAGAAGUUAUUAUGUGUUAAUAGCACAUUUUAUUGACGGUACCCAUGAAGGAAGCACCGGCUAACUCCGUGCCAGCAGCCGCGGUAAUACGGGGGGUGCAAGCGUUAUUCGGAAUUAUUGGGCGUAAAGGGCACGCAGGCGGUCCUGUCAGUCAGAUGUGAAAGCCCAGGGCUCAACCCUGGACGUGCAUUUGAAACAGCAGGACUUGAGUACGGGAGAGGAAAGGGGAAUUCCUGGUGUAGAGGUGACAUUCGUAGAUAUCAGGAGGAACACCGGUGGCGAAGGCGCCUUUCUGGACCGAUACUGACGCUGAGGUGCGAAGGCGUGGGUAGCGAACGGGAUUAGAUACCCCCGUAGUC
rnacentral:rRNA from 1 species